rnacentral:rRNA from 1 species
AGAGUUUGAUCCUGGCUCAGAGCGAACGCUGGCGGCAGGCCUAACACAUGCAAGUCGAACGAACUCUUCGGAGUUAGUGGCGGACGGGUGAGUAACACGUGGGAACGUGCCUUUAGGUUCGGAAUAACUCAGGGAAACUUGUGCUAAUACCGAAUGUGCCCUUCGGGGGAAAGAUUUAUCGCCUUUAGAGCGGCCCGCGUCUGAUUAGCUAGUUGGUGAGGUAAAGGCUCACCAAGGCGACGAUCAGUAGCUGGUCUGAGAGGAUGAUCAGCCACAUUGGGACUGAGACACGGCCCAAACUCCUACGGGAGGCAGCAGUGGGGAAUCUUGCGCAAUGGGCGAAAGCCUGACGCAGCCAUGCCGCGUGAAUGAUGAAAGGUCUUAGGAUUGUAAAAUUCUUUCACCGGGGACGAUAAUGACGGUACCCGGAGAAAGAAGCCCCGGCUAACUUCGUGCCAGCAGCCGCGGUAAU